rnacentral:rRNA from 1 species
AGUGAACGCUGGCGGCGUGCUUAACACAUGCAAGUCGAACGAGUAAGUGCUGUAGUAAUACAGAUUACUGCUAGUGGCAGACGGGUGAGUAAUACAUGGGAAUCUGCCUUAGAGCCUGGGAUAACUGUUGGAAACGACAGCUAAUAACGGAUAACACCGAGUGGUCAAAGAUUUAUGGCUUUAAGAUUAGCCCAUGCAAGAUUAGCUAGUUGGUAGGGUAAAAGCCCACCAAGGCGACGAUCAGUAGCUGGUCUGAGAGGACGAUCAGCCACACUGGGACUGAGACACGGCCCAGACUCCUACGGGAGGCAGCAGUGGGGAAUUUUGGACAAUGGGGGCAACCCUGAUCCAGCAAUGCCGCGUGAGUGAAGAAGGCCUUCGGGUUGUAAAGCUCUUUUGUCAGGGAAGAAACACCGGCUCUAACACAGUCCGGGAAUGACGGUACCUGAAGAAUAAGCACCGGCUAACUACGUGCCAGCCGCCGCAGUAA